UACAGAGGGUGCAAGCGUUAAUCGGAUUUACUGGGCGUAAAGCGUGCGCAGGCGGUUAUAUAAGACAGAUGUGAAAUCCCCGGGCUCAACCUGGGAACUGCAUUUGUGACUGUAUAGCUAGAGUACGGUAGAGGGGGAUGGAAUUCCGCGUGUAGCAGUGAAAUGCGUAGAUAUGCGGAGGAACACCGAUGGCGAAGGCAAUCCCCUGGACCUGUACUGACGCUCAUGCACGAAAGCGUGGGGAGCAAACAGG
rnacentral:rRNA from 1 species